rnacentral:rRNA from 1 species
UAUUUUAGCCACACCAUCCUGAACGUGCUUAAUCUCAGCUGAUCUUGAAAGCUAAGCAGGGUUGGCGGGCCUGGUUAGUACUUAGAUGGGAAAAAAAAAACUUUUAAAAAUUAAAGUUGUUGGUGUGU